GAGAACGACCACAGCGAAUGUCGCGGUGCCGGUAUUGGUUCCGUCAGACGCGGUGCAGGUGACAGUGGUGCUGCCAAAUGGGAAAGAGUCACCAGAGGCAUAGUCACACGAGGGCGUCACGGCACCAACCACGAUGUCAGUGGCGGUGACGGCCGACCAGGUGACAGCAGCAGUGCCGCUGGCCGAAGCGUACACGGACGCCGGCGAGGGGACCGUAAUGGCCGGCGCAAUGGUGUCAGUGACAGUAAUGGUGAUGGUCUUGCUCGCGCUAUUGCCGCUUUUGUCAGUGGCCGUGCAGGUGGCUACGGUGGUGCCGACGGGGUAGACGCCAGAGGUGGAGGGGGCCGCGGGGGAGUAGGUGGUGACAACGUUGAGGUUCGUGUCCACGUUGUCAGUGGCGGUGCAUGUGAAGGAGAUGCCGUCGGCGCCGCCAAGCGUGUUGCCCUCCUUGGUGAUGGCGUUGGUGCUGGUGCUGACGUCUGGAGCUGUGUUAUCUGUGGGCGGACAUGCAGGGUGGGGGGGAUUACACGAAUGCGUUUGCAUGUGCGUAAUUGAUGAUUACUAUGUAGCAGAAGCAAGCAAGUGUUCUUCCAAGGUCGGAGCCGCAACAUGCGAAGCCAGUAGGAUCCAUGCCCCGCCGUGCCCCGCCCUGCCUCACUCCGUUCCCCGCGCCCCGCCCCACUGCCACCCAACCCGACCCGACCCGAUCCAACCCGACUCAACCCCACCCAACCCAACCCAAGCAACCCGCCAAGACCCGACCCGACCUACAGCAACCCUUGCCCACCCUACCCUCCCCUCCCCGACCCACGUCUCACCGAGAACGACCACAGCGAAUGUCGCGGUGCCGGUAUUGGUUCCGUCAGACGCGGUGCAGGUGACAGUGGUGCUGCCAAAUGGGAAAGAGUCACCAGAGGCAUAGUCACACGAGGGCGUCACGGCACCAACCACGAUGUCAGUGGCGGUGACGGCCGACCAGGUGACAGCAGCAGUGCCGCUGGCCGAAGCGUACACGGACGCCGGCGAGGGGACCGUAAUGGCCGGCGCAAUGGUGUCAGUGACAGUAAUGGUGAUGGUCUUGCUCGCGCUAUUGCCGCUUUUGUCAGUGGCCGUGCAGGUGGCUACGGUGGUGCCGACGGGGUAGACGCCAGAGGUGGAGGGGGCCGCGGGGGAGUAGGUGGUGACAACGUUGAGGUUCGUGUCCACGUUGUCAGUGGCGGUGCAUGUGAAGGAGAUGCCGUCGGCGCCGCCAAGCGUGUUGCCCUCCUUGGUGAUGGCGUUGGUGCUGGUGCUGACGUCUGGAGCUGUGUUAUCUGUGGGCGGACAUGCAGGGUGGGGGGGAUUACACGAAUGCGUUUGCAUGUGCGUAAUUGAUGAUUACUAUGUAGCAGAAGCAAGCAAGUGUUCUUCCAAGGUCGGAGCCGCAACAUGCGAAGCCAGUAGGAUCCAUGCCCCGCCGUGCCCCGCCCUGCCUCACUCCGUUCCCCGCGCCCCGCCCCACUGCCACCCAACCCGACCCGACCCGAUCCAACCCGACUCAACCCCUCCCAACCCAACCCAAGCAACCCGCCAAGACCCGACCCGACCUACAGCAACCCUUGCCCACCCUACCCUCCCCUCCCCGACCCACGUCUCACCGAGAACGACCACAGCGAAUGUCGCGGUGCCGGUAUUGGUUCCGUCAGACGCGGUGCAGGUGACAGUGGUGCUGCCAAAUGGGAAAGAGUCACCAGAGGCAUAGUCACACGAGGGCGUCACGGCACCAACCACGAUGUCAGUGGCGGUGACGGCCGACCAGGUGACAGCAGCAGUGCCGCUGGCCGAAGCGUACACGGACGCCGGCGAGGGGACCGUAAUGGCCGGCGCAAUGGUGUCAGUGACAGUAAUGGUGAUGGUCUUGCUCGCGCUAUUGCCGCUUUUGUCAGUGGCCGUGCAGGUGGCUACGGUGGUGCCGACGGGGUAGACGCCAGAGGUGGAGGGGGCCGCGGGGGAGUAGGUGGUGACAACGUUGAGGUUCGUGUCCACGUUGUCAGUGGCGGUGCAUGUGAAGGAGAUGCCAUCGGCGCCGCCAAGCGUGUUGCCCUCCUUGGUGAUGGCGUUGGUGCUGGUGCUGACGUCUGGAGCUGUGUUAUCUGUGGGCGGACAUGCAGGGUGCGGGGGGCGUGAUGACAAGAAUGCGUGUGCAUGGUCUGUGUUUGUAUUAACGGAAGCUAGCGGAACCUUCGUUCCAUGCAAAGCUGCAGCACACCAAGUCUGCCUGCUGGGUCUAUCUCUCUAAUCUAGCCCCGCCCCGUCGCCAUCUAUGCGCCGCGCCUAGCCAUGCCUGUGCCAUCCACUUUACUACUGCUGCGUGCAUUGACCCAUAUGAACCAUCCAUAGAAGACCUAACCUACAAUCCCUGAGGCUCUGCCUAAUUUACGGCUUACCCAGGACGGUCACAGUGAACGUCUUUGUGGCGACGUUUGGCGUGGGUUGCGCGCCAUCAGACGCGGUGCAGGUGACCGUGGUGCUGCCAGAUGGGAAAGAGUCACCAGAGGCAUGGUUGCAUGCGGGCGUCACGGCACCAACCACGAUGUCAGUGGCGGUGACGGCCGACCAGGUGACGGCAGCAGUGCCGCUGGCCGAAGCGUACACGGACGCCGGCGAGGGGACCGUGAUGGCCGGCGCAAUGGUGUCAGUGACAACAAUGGUGAUGGUCUUGCUCGCACUGUUGCCGCUUUUGUCAGUGGCCGUGCAGGUGGCUACGGUGGUGCCGACGGGGUAGACGCCAGAGGUGGAGGGGGCCGCGGGGGAGUAGGUGGUGACAACGUUGAGGUUCGUGUCCACGUUGUCAGUGGCGGUGCAUGUGAAGGAGAUGCCGUCGGCGCCGCCAAGCGUGUUGCCCUCCUUGGUGAUGGCGUUGGUGCUGGUGCUGACGGUUGGGGCAGUG
rnacentral:lncRNA from 1 species